GAUGAACGCUGGCGGCGUGCUUAACACAUGCAAGUCGAACGAUGAAAGCGGGAGCUUGCUCCUGCUGGAUUAGUGGCGAACGGGUGAGUAACACGUGAGCAAUCUGCCCCGAACUCUGGGAUAAGCGUUGGAAACGACGUCUAAUACCGGAUACGACGCGCGAAGGCAUCUUCUGCGCGUGGAAAGAACUUCGGUUCGGGAUGAGCUCGCGGCCUAUCAGCUAGUUGGUGAGGUAACGGCCCGCCAAGGCGACGACGGGUAGCCGGCCUGAGAGGGUGACCGGCCACACUGGGACGGAGACACGGCCCAGACUCCUACGGGAGGCAGCAGGGGGGAAUAUUGCACAAUGGGCGCAAGCCUGAUGCAGCAACGCCGCGUGAGGGACGACGGCCUUCGGGUUGUAAACCUCUUUUAGUAGGGAAGAAGCGAAAGUGACGGUACCUGCAGAAAAAGCACCGGCUAACUACGUGCCAGCAGCCGCCGUAAAAC
rnacentral:rRNA from 1 species